rnacentral:tRNA from 1 species
GACUUUGUAGCUCAGUCGGUUAGAGCAUCUGACUGUUAAUCAGAGGGUCGAAGGUUCGAGUCCUUCCAAGGUCGCCA